GUCGGAGUGGCCGAGCGGUCUAAGGCGCCAGACUCAAGAGUAAUCCUUCUGGGUGUUCUGGUCCACGAUGUGGGCGUGGGUUCGAAUCCCACCUCCGACA
rnacentral:tRNA from 1 species